rnacentral:rRNA from 1 species
UACGGGGGGAGCAAGCGUUGUUCGGAUUUACUGGGCGUAAAGGGCGCGUAGGCGGCCAUUCAAGUCGGAGGUGAAAGCCCAGGGCUCAACCCUGGAAUUGCCUUCGAUACUGUUUGGCUAGAGACCGGAAGAGGUAAGUGGAACUGCGAGUGUAGAGGUGAAAUUCGUAGAUAUUCGCAAGAACACCAGUGGCGAAGGCGGCUCACUGGCCCGGUACUGACGCUGAGGCACGAAAGCGUGGGGAGCAAACAGG